rnacentral:sRNA from 1 species
UUGCUCUGGUAUUCUGGGGUAGCACCCUGA